CAGGGUAACACGCACCUUUCGCCGAUCUCGCUGUACACAAAGUCCACGUUUCCGGGUCAGCUUCUGGACCGUGGGUCAUCUUGACGUUGACUAGGCUUUAGACGUGUAGGAAGCCAUUUCUUGAGUACGGCUUCUCGAGGGUAAAGAGACUGCUGUUCACGCUGAAGACGUCUGAUUCACACUCUGAACAGAUAUACGUGGAGUGGAAGCACAGACUACUUAUUGUCUAGUGAUGGAUUAGUUUUAGCGAGUGAAAUCAUGCCACCUGGGAACCCAUUCGGGGUAACCAGACAUGUAGGACGUUCCGCGUUGUUUCUGGGCAGUCUAGCUUGCUUCUGUAUAUAUGUGACUGGCCAAGUCGAAAAUGUUACUGUGAUAAAUUGCA